CUGUCAAAGUGGGGCCAGAGUGCCGGUCCCCGGGGGAGGCAGGGCGCGGAGCAGCCCCGCCCUUCCCCCGCGGUGGGCCGAAGUGGCAGAGAGCGUUCCCCUUUCCGGCCGGAGGUGGAACGCCCGGGCGGGUCCUGUCCUUCCCGGGCCUUGGCGGGUCAGGGGACUGGCGAGGUGUUUCUGAGGGGCACCACCCCUGCGGACAGGCUGUGCGGCACCGGCCCCCGCCGCUGGCUGGGCCGUGCCCUUGUGUAAGCGCGUCCGGUAGGGUGUCCCGAAAGCGGGCGUCCGUAGCCGCCGGCAGGGCGGACGGCGGACCCAAGCGGAUGACCCAGAAGGCGGCAUGCCGGCGGUGUCGUGCAACCGUGUGCGGGCGCCUGAAGGAGAAAAGCAGAGUACUUCUUCAUUCCCCGCCUCAGUCCCUGCCGACUGCAGCCGCAGUACAGCCGGACUAAAUUAAAUCCAAAUGUUUUGCUACUGAGACAACAAAGCUGCCUUGGAGUCGAGGACGGUCUUCCCGACGUGCCUUUUUCAGGACGUGGUACUUUCCCCGUCAGGCCAGUAGAGGGGGAGGGUGUCCUUCUCCCAGCACAGGCACCCUUCCACGCACACACCGUGCGGCAAGGCUGUCCUAGUGCUGGGUCCUGGUGUACUGUUCAGACUUCUCUGCCUACUUCUGAGCACUCGGGGAUCUCGGAUCUGACUGGUAUCAUAAAGAGAAGUAGCUGAGACAGUGACUUGGUAACAGGACUGCUCCUGCUGUGCAGCUUCACCUCAGAUACUUCUCUCGGACCAGGGAAUAAUUGCUCGUGGGUGAAUCUCUAAAGCAGUGGUGAUGUGCCUGGGACUGGCUGAUGGCCAGGGUGUUGCUGCCGUUUCUGUGCUGCUGUACUGGACAGGCUGGAACUACUGUGUACACUCGAGCUGAAGGGACUGUGACCUGUGGAUGAGUCCACGUGGGAGCAGGACACUCUGAAGUGUCUGUGGCUGUGGAUAAGCGCAUGCGAAAGCAGGUACAUUUCAAAGCCUCUGUGGCUGUGCUUAUGUACGUGCCGCAGCAGGUAUGCCUCUGAAGGGAUUGUAGCCCAAGGAUAAGUCCACGCUGCAGACGGUACACCUUGAAGCAUCAGUAGCUGUGCAUGAGGUCAUGCUGGAGCACCUCAAAGCACGUGGCUGUGGAUAAACCCAUGACAGAGCAGGUGCACCCCUGGAGGGAUGGCAGCCAUGGCUAAGGCCAUGUUGGAGCAGGUUUACUUCUGAAGGGACUGUGGCUGUGGGCAAGGCCAUGCUGGAGCACGUAUAUCUCUGAAGGCAUUGUGGUCCAUGGAGAAGGCCACGCUGGAACAGGUGCACCUCAAAGCGACUGUGGCUGUGGAUAAGUCUAUGGCACAGCAGGUAUACCACUGAAGAGACUGUGGUUCAUAGAUAAGGCUCCACUGGGAGCAGGUACACCCCUGAGGGACUGCAGUCUGUGGAUAAGUCCAAGGUGGAGCAGGGGCAAGGGGAGGAGUUCAUUGCAAUGUUAAACCUGAUGCUCUGGUCCAAAGGGACUGGGGUAGAGACUGUAAUGGAAAUACCUUUAUAUUGUUGUAACCCAGGAUUUGAGUCGCAUCUGAUAGGAAUUACUGUAGCAGGAACCACCCGAACCAAUGGAGGACAAGCCUUACAAGAAGCAGUGCAAGUGCAGCAGUGACCUGACUGGAGCUGGCUUUGGUGCCCAGUAACUCCACACAACACACAACCUCUCCUGUCCUGAGUGACCGCCAUAACAGAUGGAGCCCAACGUCAUGGACUAAAUUAAGUCAAUGGACAUUUUGUGGACAUUUAUGGACAUUUUACAGACAUUUCACAGGGGUGGUUCAUAGACUAAGGGAAUGGUAUCUGUGGAUUAUAUUAAAGGGUGGGAAGGGUGGUGGUGGGUAACAAGGUUGUAUUGGAUAGUGUGAGACCUGAGCACGGCGUAAAUGGUGUGGAAUAAGGGGUGGAGAAUGGGCUGGUUUUGGCUAGGAUAGAGUUCAUUUUCUUCAUAGUACCCAGUAUGAGGCUAUGUUUUGGAUUUGUGCUGGACACAGUGUUGAUAACACAGAGAUGUUUUAGUUAUUGCUGAGCAGAGCUUACACAGAGCCAAGGCCUUUUCUGCUUCUCACCCCACCUCACCAGUGAGUAGGCUGGGGGUGCAUAAGGAGCUGGGAGGGGACACAGCCAGGACAGCUGACCCCAACUAACCAAAGGAAUAUUCCAUACCAUAUGACAUCAUGCUCAGCAUAUAAAUCCAGGGGCAGAAGAAGGCAGGGGCAGACAUUUGGAAUAAUGGCAUUUGUCUCCUCAAGUAACUAUUACAUGUGAUGGAGCCCCACUGUCCUGGAGAUGGCUGAACAUCUUCCUGCCGAUGAGAAGUAGUGAAGGAAUUCCUCAUCUUGCUUUGCUUGUGCGCGUAGCUUUUGCUUUACCCAUUAAACUGUCCUUACCU